GCUAAAUAAGAGCGUAUGGGGAAUGCCUAGGCUCUCAGAGGCGAUGAAGGACGUGAUAAGCUGCGAAAAGCUACGGGGAUUGGCACAUACAAAUUGAUCCGUAGAUAUCCGAAUGGGGCAACCCAGCAUGUUGAAGACAUGUUAUCCGCAAGGAGGCGAACCCGGAGAACUGAAACAUCUAAGUACCCGGAGGAGAAGAAAACAAAAGUGAUUCCGAUAGUAGCGGCGAGCGAAAUUGGAUUAGCCCAAACCAGUAUUGUUACGGCAAUGCUGGGGUUGUAGGACCACAAUAUUCGAUGCAUAAUGAAUUAGAACAGUUUGGAAAGACUGACCGAAGAGGGUGAUAGUCCCGUAUAAGUAAAGAUUGUUAAGAUAGUGGUAUCCUGAGUAGUGCGGGGCACGUGAAACCCUGUGUGAAUCAGUCGGGACCAUCCGAUAAGGCUAAAUACUCCUGAGAGACCGAUAGUGAACUAGUACCGUGAGGGAAAGGUGAAAAGAACCCUGAACAAGGGAGUGAAAAAGAUCCUGAAACCGUGUGUUUACAAGCGGUCGAAGCCUUAGGGCGACGGCGUGCCUUUUGCAUAAUGAUCCUACGAGUUACUCCUCAUUGGCAAGGUUAAGUCUUUAAGGGACGAAUCCGAAGCGAAAGCGAGUCUGAAUAGGGCGACAUAGUCAGUGGGGGUAGACGCGAAACCUUGUGAUCUACCCAUGGCCAGGUUGAAGUUUUGGUAACACAAAAUGGAGGACCGAACUCAUAUACGUUGAAAAGUGUUGAGAUGAGCUGUGGGUAGGGGUGAAAGGCCAAUCAAACUGGGAAAUAGCUCGUACUCCCCGAAAUGCAUUUAGGUGCAGCGUUCAGGUAGAGUAUUAUAGAGGUAGAGCUACUGAUAGGGCUAGGGGGCUUCACCGCCUACCAAACCCUGACAAACUCCGAAUGCUAUAAAAUGUUAAUCAGCAGUGAGGGCAUGGGUGCUAAGGUCCAUGUCCGAGAGGGAAAGAACCCAGAUCAUCAGCUAAGGCCCCCAAAUGUAUGUUAAGUUGAUCAAACGUUGUGCGAUUGCAUAGACAGCUAGGAUGUUGGCUUGGAAGCAGCCAUUCAUUUAAAGAGUGCGUAACAGCUCACUAGUCGAGCGAUCGUGCGUGGAUAAUAAUCGGGCAUUAAACAUACUGCCGAAGCUAUGACAUCGAAAGAUGGGUAGGGGAGCAUUCUAUAUGCGUUGAAUGUGAGGGGUGACCUUCGCUGGAGCGUAUAGAAAAGCAAAUGUAGGAAUAAGUAACGAUAAAGCAGGCGAGAAACCUGCUCACCAAUAGACUAAGGUUUCCUUGGCGACGCUAAUCGUCCAAGGGUUAGUCGGGACCUAACGCGAACCCGAGAGGGGUAGUGGAUGGAUAAUGGGUUAAUAUUCCCAUACUUGGUAUAACUGCGAUGGGGUGACGGAGUGAUGAAAGAACCGCGUACUGACGGAAU
rnacentral:rRNA from 1 species